rnacentral:lncRNA from 1 species
UCGUGUGUGUGAUCUGUGUGCAUGGGUGUGCGUGUGUGCUCGUGGUAUGCGUGGCGUGGUGGUCAGCACGUGAGCUAGCUAGAUGGGCAUGCAUGCAUGUAUUAGGUGGUGUUUGGUUAUCUAGUCCUAGGACUUUUUCUAGUCCCUAGGACUUUUUGAAAAAGACUCUCAAGGAGGUGCUUCUAAGGACUUUUAGCAAAAAGUCCCAAAAAAGUCCCACCCUGUUUGGUUUACUAGGGAAUUUUUCUAGUCCCAACACAAAAAAGUCCCUGGAACCAAACACCCCCUUAGUUGCGGUGUUUAGCAAGUUGUUAGCAGCGGCCGGUGGAGAUGGCCGCGUCAAGCGCGUAGCGCGCGUAGCGUGCAUGGCCGGGCUGAUCGUUUGCAUGCAGCGGAUAGCUAGCUGGAGAAACGUGGGCGUUGCGUUUGCUGUAG